ACCGUGCAGGGCCGCAUCAUCGUGCAGGCUCAGCCUGAGUGGCUAAAAGUGAUCUCGGACACAGAGGCUGACAUUGGCUCCAACCUGCGUUGGGGCUGUGCAGCCGCCGGCAAGCCCCGGCCUACAGUGCGCUGGCUGCGGAACGGGGAGCCUCUGGCCUCCCAGAACCGGGUGGAGGUGUUGGCCGGGGACCUGCGGUUCUCCAAGCUGAGCCUGGAGGACUCGGGCAUGUACCAGUGUGUGGCAGAGAAUAAGCAUGGUACCAUCUACGCCAGCGCCGAGCUAGCCGUGCAAGCACUCGCCCCUGACUUCAGGCUGAAUCCCGUGAGGCGUCUGAUCCCCGCGGCCCGCGGGGGAGAGAUCGUUAUCCCCUGCCAGCCCCGGGCAGCUCCAAAGGCCGUGGUGCUCUGGAGCAAAGGCACGGAGAUUUUGGUCAACAGCAGCAGAGUGACUGUAACUCCAGAUGGCACCUUGAUCAUAAGAAACAUCAGCCGGUCAGAUGAAGGCAAAUACACCUGCUUUGCUGAGAACUUCAUGGGCAAAGCCAACAGCACUGGAAUCCUAUCUGUGCGAGAUGCAACCAAAAUCACUCUAGCCCCCUCAAGUGCCGACAUCAACUUGGGUGACAACCUGACCCUACAGUGCCAUGCCUCCCACGACCCCACCAUGGACCUCACCUUCACCUGGACCCUGGACGACUUCCCCAUCGACUUUGAUAAGCCUGGAGGGCACUACCGGAGAACUAAUGUGAAGGAGACCAUUGGGGAUCUGACCAUCCUGAAUGCCCAGCUGCGCCAUGGGGGGAAGUACACAUGCAUGGCCCAGACGGUGGUGGACAGCGCGUCCAAGGAGGCCACAGUCCUGGUCCGAGGUCCGCCAGGUCCCCCAGGAGGUGUGGUGGUGAGGGACAUUGGCGACACCACCAUCCAGCUCAGCUGGAGCCGUGGCUUCGACAACCACAGCCCCAUCGCUAAGUACACCCUGCAAGCUCGCACUCCACCUGCAGGGAAGUGGAAGCAGGUUCGGACCAAUCCUGCAAACAUCGAGGGCAAUGCCGAGACUGCACAGGUGCUGGGCCUCACCCCCUGGAUGGACUAUGAGUUCCGGGUCAUAGCCAGCAACAUUCUGGGCACUGGGGAGCCUAGUGGGCCCUCCAGCAAAAUCCGGACCAGGGAAGCAGCCCCCUCGGUGGCACCCUCAGGACUCAGCGGAGGAGGUGGAGCCCCCGGAGAGCUCAUCGUCAACUGGACGCCCAUGUCACGGGAGUACCAGAACGGAGACGGCUUCGGCUACCUGCUGUCCUUCCGCAGGCAGGGCAGCACUCACUGGCAGACCGCCCGGGUGCCUGGCGCCGAUGCCCAGUACUUUGUCUACAGCAACGAGAGCGUCCGGCCCUACACGCCCUUUGAGGUCAAGAUCCGCAGCUACAACCGCCGCGGGGAUGGGCCCGAGAGCCUCACUGCACUCGUGUACUCAGCUGAGGAAGGUGGGCUGCCCCCGGGCCCACUGCUCGUCCCUACCCCAGCCACUUGUCCACAGGGAUGUGGGGUGGGGGAACGCUACUCAUCUCCCAGCUCAGUUCCAUAGGAGGAGGUUGAGAGGACACCUGGGUUCCACACCAUUGGCCUCACUUCCAGCUCUUGCUACCUUGUCUCCCUUCGGGGUUAGGAAAAGGGAGGCUCUCUGGGAAUAGAAGUGGGCCCUGGAGCAUUGCUUGGGGGGCUCCCACUCGGCCUUCAUCCUGAAGGCUUUCCUCCAAAAUCUUAAGCAAAGGCAAUCCUGGUUGGGGGCUGCUCUGCAGGACACAGGGGGGCCCUGGGAAUCCAAACCCAUUCUGUAUUGGUCCCCAGAGCCCAGGGUGGCCCCUACCAAGGUG
rnacentral:sRNA from 1 species